GGAUCCAGACUUUGAUCAUGGCUCAGGAUGAACGCUGGCGGCGCAUUUAAGACAUGCAAGUCGAACGAAAAUUUACGCUUAAAGAGUUGAUUAGUUUACUAAGAGAUGAUUUAUUGUAAAUUUUAGUGGCGGACUGGUGAGUAAUACAUAGGUAAUCUGCCUUUUAGAGGGGAAUAACUAGGAGAAAUCCUAGCUAAUACCGCGUAAGACCACACUUAGGCAUCUAAGAGAGGUCAAAGGAGUAAUCCGCUAAAAGAUGAGCCUGUGGCUGAUUAGUUAGUUGGUGGGGUAAGAGCCUACCAAGACGAUGAUCAGUAGCCGAGCUGAGAGGCUGGCCGGCCACAUUGGGACUGAGAUACGGCCCAGACUCCUACGGGAGGCAGCAGUUGGGAAUAUUGGACAAUGGAGGAAACUCUGAUCCAGUGACGCCGCGUGAAGGAAGAAGGUCUUCGGAUUGUAAACUUAUUUUAUCAGGGAAGAAGAAAGUGACAGUACCUGAAGAAAAAGGACCGGCAAACUACGUGCCAGCAGCCGCGGUAAUACGUAGGGUCCAAGCGUUAUCCGGAUUUACUGGGUGUAAAGGGCGAGUAGACGGCGCUGUAAGUCAGCUGUGAAAACUUAGGGCUCAACCUUAAGCCUGCAGCUGAAACUGUAGUGCUAGAGUGCAGGAGAGGUAAGCGGAAUUCCUAGUGUAGCGGUGAAAUGCGUAGAUAUUAGGAGGAACACCAGUGGCGAAGGCGGCUUACUGGACUGUAACUGACGUUGAGGCGCGAAAGUGUGGGGAGCAAACAGGAUUAGAUACCCUGGUAGUCCAUACCGUAAACGAUGGAUACUAGGUGUAGGCGAGAUAUCGUCUGUGCCGGCGCAAACGCAAUAAGUAUCCCACCUGGGGAGUACGGCCGCAAGGUUGCAACUCAAAUGAAUUGACGG
rnacentral:rRNA from 1 species